UUACCGAGUUUACAACUCCCAAACCCUUAUGUGAACAUACCAUAUCGUUGCCUCGGCGGGAUCGCCCCGUGGGCGCAGCAGGGCUCACGCCACUGCCGUCCCGGAAUCAGGCCCCCGCCCGAGGACCCCAAACUCUUGUUUUAUUCAGUGGUUUCUCUGAGUGGCUCGUGAGAGCAAUUAAAUAAAAUCAAAACUUUCAACAACGGAUCUCUUGGUUCUGGCAUCGAUGAAGAACGCAGCGAAAUGCGAUAAGUAAUGUGAAUUGCAGAAUUCAGUGAAUCAUCGAAUCUUUGAACGCACAUUGCGCCCGCUAGUAUUCUGGCGGGCAUGCCUGUUCGAGCGUCAUUUCAACCCUCAGCUCCCCCCUUUCGGGGGCGGGAAAGCUGGUGUUGGGGAUCAGCCUUCUACGGCUGUCCCUCAAAUACAGUGGCGGUCACGCUGCAGCCUCCUAUGCGUAGUAACUUACACCUCGCACCUGGAACUCUGCGCGGCCACGCCGUAAAACCCCUACUUUUACAAGGUUGACCUCGA
rnacentral:rRNA from 1 species